ensembl:rRNA 5S_rRNA 5S ribosomal RNA
UGCAGAGAGCUGCUGCACACCCGAUCUCGUCUGCUCUCGGAAGCUAGACAGGGUUGAGCUUGGUUAGUACUUGGAUGGGAGACCGCCUGGGAGUACCAGGUGCUGUAA